rnacentral:lncRNA from 1 species
CUUUUGGAGCUUAAUUAGUUGGUUUAGAACUUCCUUGGGCUUGGAUUGGGAGGAACUUUGCUCUCUUUUGGAGCUUGAGAGAGAUUUUCCACACAUUAGGUGACUUUUAGCCCUUUUGUUAAAUUUGUUAGAGUUUGAUCUUAUAGUCGAUCGUAAUGCCCGUGUAUCAUGUCGCUCAAUACUUUUAGGGUAUUUUGAGACUCGGGGACAACUUUGUUCGGCGAAUCGAGGCCCACGCGACGGUUCGGUGGGUUUGACCUAGCCACACAAUGAGAAAUUCUCAUUUGUGAU